AGCCUAACUCUAGCCCAACCACACUCCACCAGCAACACUCAAGAACUAACUUUACCACCAAAACUAAAACAUUCUCCAGACUUAGUAUAGGCGAUAGAAAAGUCAACCACUUAUGGCGCAAUAGAGAUUAAGUACCGUGAGGGAAAGAUGAAAGAGUAAUGAAAACCCAAGCAACAGACAGCAAAGAUAAACCCUUGUACCUCUUGCAUCAUGAUUUAGCAAGAACAACCAAGCAAAACGAGUUUAAGUUUGCCUUCCCGAAACCCAAGCGAGCUACUUACAAGCAGCUUCUCAGAGCGAACCCGUCUCUGUCGCAAAAGAGUGGGACGACUUGCUAGUAGCGGUGAAAAGCCAACCGAGCUGGGUGAUAGCUGGUUGCCUGUGAAAUGAAUCUAAGUUCCCUCUUAAUUCUCCUCCAUGGACAUUCUUAAGCCACCCUCGUAGUGAAUCAAGAGCAAUUUAAAGGGGGUACAGCCCCUUUAAAAAAGAAUACAACCUCUCCUAGCGGAUAACUAAUUAACACCACCCCUGACACUGUAGGCCUCCGAGCAGCCAUCAACAACGAGUGCGUCAAAGCUCCUCGCCCAAAAAUCAAGAAACAACACGACUCCCUUAUCACUAACAGGCUAACCUAUUACAAUAGGAGAAUUAAUGCUAGAAUGAGUAACUAGGGCCCUCCCCUCUCAAGCGCAAGCUUAUAUUAUCAAACCAUCAACAGACCAAAUAAUGUCACAACUAACAAGCCAAAACAUUAGAUCAACUCUGUUAACCCAACCCAGGAGCGCUCACUAGAAAGAUUAAAAUCUGUGAAAGGAACUAGGCAAACCCAGGGCCCGACUGUUUACCAAAAACAUAGCCUUCAGCUAACCAAGUAUUGAAGGUGAUGCCUGCCCAGUGACACAACGUUUAACGGCCGCGGUAUCCUAACCGUGCGAAGGUAGCGCAAUCAAUUGUCCCAUAAAUCGAGACCUGUAUGAAUGGCUAAACGAGGUCCUAACUGUCUCUCACAGAUAAUCAGUGAAAUUGAUCUUCCUGUGCAAAAGCAGGAAUAAACUCAUAAGACGAGAAGACCCUGUGGAACUUAAAAAUCAACGGCCACUACAUCUAAAUACAAACCUACUAGGCCCACCAUCCUUAAAACAUUGGUUCGCAUUUUUCGGUUGGGGCGACCUUGGAGAAAAACAAAACCUCCAAAAAUAAGACCACACCUCUUAACCAAGAGCAACUCCUCAACGUACUAACAGUACCCAGACCCAAUAUAAUUGACUAAUGAACCAAGCUACCCCAGGGAUAACAGCGCAAUCUCCUUCAAGAGCCCGUAUCGACAAGGAGGUUUACGACCUCGAUGUUGGAUCAGGACACCCUAAUGGUGCAGCCGCUAUUAAGGGUUCGUUUGUUCAACGAUUAACAGUCCUACGUGAUCUGAGUUCAGACCGGAGCAAUCCAGGUCGGUUUCUAUCUAUGCUUACACUUUCCCUAGUACGAAAGGACCGGAAAAGUGAGGCCAAUGCUACAAGCACGCCUCCUCUCUAAGUAAUGAACCCAACUGAAUUACAAAAAAGAGUACCCACACAUCUUGUCCUAGAAAAGGACCG
rnacentral:rRNA from 1 species